AUUGAAAUUUUGGCGGGAAAAUAUUCUCUCUUGACUUUUCAUUGCUUUAUCAUUGACAAGUUAAAGUUCUCAAAAACUGUUAAAAAGUAAUUAAAAUUUUAUAAGACUUUUACAGAUGGCUUAUCAUUAUACAUGUUAAAGAAUUUCAAAAAGAAAAAUGGGGGUCACCGGACAAAAUUUGUCAAGGCAUUCAAAUGGAUAAAACCAGAGGAUUCCGAAAAUCUGACAAAAAAUCUAAAACAUGACAAGCCAGCUUCCUUAA
rnacentral:lncRNA from 1 species